GUGAAAAAGCGUUGGGCGUGAGCCCGCGUCGAACGGCCGCUAGUGCAGAUCUUGGUGGGAGUAGCAAAUAUUCAAAUGAGAACUUUGAAGACUGAAGUGGAGCAAGGUUCCGUGUGAACAGCAAUUGGACGCGGGUUAGUCGGUCCUAAGGAGUAGGCAAACGCCGAGUUAACGCGAGUGGUAAAACACUCCAGCCUCCGAAAGGGAAUGGGGUUA
rnacentral:rRNA from 1 species